GGAAAGUGAGAGGGAGGGAAGGAAAAGGGGAGUAGGGGGGCUGGUAGACAGAGACACUCAGGGACAGACUACAGAAUAUCUGGAAACCGACCAGAUUUGUUGAAUGUCAGUUUGAGAAGGAAGCCUGAGCUAUGAUUUAAACGCCAACCGAUUCAUUGUCAUCCAUGAUCUCCGCCACCAUCACCCCCUCCUUCUUCCUUCCUGUCUGUCCCUCUUUCUCUCUUUUGUAGGAUACAGAAGGUGAAUAAUGAAACCAUUUUGCUAAUAGUUUAUGAGCCAUGAGAUUGGAAAUGUAUAUGGAUAGACCGAAGCGCCAGACUAAAAUCACUUGAGAGGAGCGCAGGGCUUUGCAGAGAAGAAACGCUCUGCGUCCUCCCUCCCCAGUCCAGAGGAGAGAAGAAAGAAAGGGGUGGAAUCGUGUCUUUCCUUUUCCCCUCGUCCUUCCGCCCAGGGUAGCAAAAGCAGGGUCCCAGUGGGAUCACUCAAUGAGAAACAACCCCAGACCCUACUCAGUCUUCCCGGGGGUCUGAAGCAGGAGCGAGAUGAAUUAGGAAGAUGGGGAGAUAGAGAAAGCGAGAGAUAAUCGUUAUCACCAGGAUUUUUCUGCCGCUGAUGGGAUCUAAAAAGAUCCAUCACACCCGGCUGCUUUCCCUUAGGCAGAAAACAAAAGAAUCGAGCUGCAUCUGGAGAAAGUAAAAUGGGGAAGGGUUUCUUCUAUCUUUUUCUCAAGUAGCUGUUCCCCCAAAUAAGUCCUUAAGACUCCUGGAAAUACAUCUAAGGUUCCCUCUCCCAAGAAAUACUGCCCUCUUCCUUCCUAUACAAAGAAUUUCUUGCCCCUUUUUGUUUUAAUGUUUCCAAAGCUUUGAAGCAUUUUCCUGAAAAUUGAGGUGAUGGUGGUGGCAAGAACUGUGACAAUCACAGGAUAGCUCACAGUGAUCAUGGUAGCUGGUUUUAGCCAUCUGGUUUCUACAGACUGGACUAAAGGUGUAAGGGGUAUAAGAGUUCCUGGGGCUCCAAACACUCAGGAAAGGCCAAUGACCAGUAAGAGACCGUCCCACCUCUGGCCUGGUUUUCUUGGGGAAAGGGAGGGAGGAGGAAGGGUGGGGUCAGAGAGUAGGAGAGGGAAAGCACACCCGAUCUCUGUUUUCCAAGAUAGGUCAAUUGUUCCCAGCAGGACUGCCGUGACAGCUGCUACUAUCUACAGGGGGGAAGAAAACGGCAAGAUCCCGAAGCCAGACUUAUACUCGCUAGUUGUUGAGAGAGCGGAUCCUGCAGGCAGGCCAACCAUGUGAGUCCGCGCCGCAGACACACUCCGCACAGGCAGGCUGCGAGCAGCCGCAAGUGAAUGCGCGCACUCGUCCUUGUCCCUGUCUGUGUCCCCGCUCACUUCCCUGCUUCUCCCACUCCUCCUCUGCCCUUUUCACCUUGCUUCACCCUUUUCUUCUCAUUCGUUCUGUAUUCACUCUCCGUCUCCGCUGGUUCGCAUUCUCUGAUCUUUCUCUCCCCCCUCCCACUCCGAUCUCAACUCUGUCCAGUUUGCGUCUUAAAAAAAAAAAAAAAAAAAAAAAAAAAGCAAGUCACACUUUCUUUUAAAGGAGAGAAAAAGCAUGAAUCAAUGUAAUAGAGAUAAAAGGAACUCAGGCAAGGGAGGACUGGGAGCAGAAGCCGGUUAGGUGGCGGGAAGGAUUUUUUUUUUUUUUUUUUCCCAAUGCACGGGAGUAAAUAUGGGAGAUGGGGGCGAGGGUUACAUGUGCAGAUAUACGUCUUGCCCCAAAGUCUUGGAGAUGAGUUGGACCUGCAGGUAACAAAGGGGCAGUGGCGUUGCAGCACGGACAAUCGGAACAAUCCCUCAGCAAUGCGAGCAUUGAUCUGACCAAAUCACAAUCGACCGAGAGACAAUCAGUCAGGCUAAUAGUGGGGAGGGGAGGUAGAAUUGUGAGGUGGAAAGAGAACAGAGGAGGACUUAAAUUGCAAUCCCUAGACAGAAAAGAAGAAAAAGAGUUUAAAGUGUCUUUCUUCUCACUACACAUAGGACUACAUUUCGAGUCCCUGUAUCUGAAGUGAUGGAGGAUUGGAGAAGAUUUCAGGGACUUUCUUGUGACGCGUGCCUUCCUUACACCAGUCGCACCAGAGAUAAAGAUAACGUGUGUUUAGGAAAUCAGAGGUCAAAACAGAAAUCUUUGCACUUGUGUGGCGAUGAUUUGCCUGUAGUCUGCCCUGACUCUUGACAUAUGGGAAGGGGACAGGAUGGGUGGAAGGAAUAUGUGCUAUUGUAGAUACCUGUGCUUCUGGUGCCUGUAAAGGACAGUGGGAAAGACAGAGCAAGAGGAGGCCUUUGGGUAUAUGGUCCUUUCUGUGCACCGAAGCUCAGGGAGCAGGGAGGAUGUGUGACCCGGAGAGGAAGAAAGAAAUUUCCCAAAUGAGAAAAGGUUUUGAGGAUAAAGAGGCAAAGGGAUCCUAUGUGUGUGUGCGCGUGUGUGUGAUUUGCAAUCUGUUCACACCGGUACCGAGAAAAAGCGAGAAAAGCGCUAAAAAAAAAAAAAAAAAAAAAAAAUGCUGGGGAGCAGAGAUAAGGACAGGUGGUUUUAGUGUUUCUCCAAGCCUACCCUUCGUCUUUCCCAUCUCCCGGGCACGAACUUCGGGUAUUCAACCUUUUCCCAUACAGUCCACCAUCAAGUUCUCAGGGAGAGAGAAACUUACGGGAAAUGUCCUUUCUCUCUAGCUUUUGUAGAGGAAAGACCAGAAUCAUUCCUGGCCAGCACUUCUGCCCUGAGCUGGCCAUUUUAUUGCCCCGUGAUGAAUUAAGACCCAGAAAAACUAGGAUGAUUGUGCCUAAAGUAGUUAUAAAAGCAAUUGAGGGCGUUGCCUCCACAAAUGACUGAUUCGAUUAACCCAUCAUUACAGGUAAAAGGUAGAAUAUAACCUUGUUUCCCCUUCUUAAGCAUACAUUUCGAUGCCUUUCGAAGAAUUUACAUACUCCACGUUAGAUUUACGCUGCUUGAGGGUGAGGUCUGUUUUUAGCUUUCCUUUAUCUCCAGUGCUCAAGUGGUGGCUGAUCCGAGUAAGAGGGAUUGGCUGACUGACAGGGUUUUGCUUGGCUAGAACUGGUAUCGGGAUAUAGGGCCCUUCACUGGCAGCAGGCCGUGGAACACACCUUUCAGAAAUCUGAUUUCAGAAAUCAGGGCUAGGGCGUAUGUGUCCUCAAACUUAAGGGCUGAGGAAACUUUCAUUUCCCGCAGCUAUUGGGGCUGUGCUUCCUAAUGUGGGGAAUGUGGGCUAGAGAAAAAGUCAUUCAGCUUUCCAGAGGUAUGUGAGAUCUGGAAAAGGGCAGACUAUCUCUCUCACGGAUUUCCUCUUGCAGUUCCAAAUGUAUCGCCCAUUCUCCCAGAUUUCUAUUUGAGACAGGAGGAAGCUAGGGAGAAACUCGUUUGCCCAGACCCUGAAGCACAACUUUGAGAUUUUUUGUUGUUGCUGUUACCCCUUAUCUUUUCCAGUGAACUUUUUUCCUCUGGUAAUUAGAAAGGGAAGAGGGGAAAAAAGAGAAAGGAAGAAAAGCAAAACAGGAUAACACAAUGAAAACUCUCUUGCUAACUUGAAGCACAGGUUUCUGUCUUUUUUUUUUUUUUUUAAUAAUAGCAAGGCUUCUCCUGUCCUCUCUUCUUUCUCUCUUUCUCUGUCUCCCUUUUCUCCCUCUAUUUUCAUGCCACACAUAUCCUAUAGGAAACAUCCCAGGUUAUUGGGAUGCCAUGUUAUCUAAAACCCCAGAGAGAAGAUGAUCAGUGUGAAAGUUCAUAGACACACUUUCUACUACCAGAAUUCUUAAUGCCUGACUUCUGGUGCAUUUUUUUCUCCUAAAAGGUUCAUGUUUGAAUGAUCACAGACAGUAAGAUCGAGUAAAGGGAGAGGAGCAAGAAAUAUUAGUGCUAUUCUGUUAAAUUCUUAUAUUUAAUUUUCAUAGCCUAUUGAAUAACAUUCCUAAGAAUGGAGAUUUUGAAAAAGGGAAAAUUCCUUUUAGCUAAGAGAAGCUAUGAACUUUCUGGAUUCUAUUUUAAUGCUGUCUUAAGAGAGAAAUCUAUUUUUCUGUUUUUGUUACAAGUCAAGUAAAGAUUCAGCUUUUCCUAGGUGCCUGAAGUGAAGGAAGGCCAAAAAGAAAAAAAGGAAGAAAAAAAAUAGGAACACAAGGAAAAAAUUAUGGAAAAGGCACUGAACGGGAAAAAAAAAAAGGUAUAGACAGUAUUUAGAAUAGCAAGCUUCCAACCUGUUGGAGAUUUUCUCCAUCCCUUCAAUUAUCCUCCCAUUAUUUCUUCUCUGAUGUCACAACUUUUCUAUUGCUUUAUGUCUAGGACAUAGCUGAAUCUUGAGACCUAUCUUGGAGAAUAGAUAGAAAGUACUAGUACUUUUGACUAAAUUUAUUUGGGAUGAAAUUUGCCACAGUCAAAAUUUGCAAAGGGCAUGAAAGGAAAGGAGAAGAGAGAAAAGAAUAAUAGAGGAAGAAAAAGAUAAGAGAAAAUUAUAGCCAUAAAAAGAGUGUUUUCCACUUUUAAAAAGCAAGAAAUGGGAAUCAGAGGGGGAAAUUCAAUAAUCCCAGAAAUAUAAAAGGAAUGAAAAGCAGUAUCUAUCAAUGGAGGAAAAUAAUGUCCUAGCUGAAAUUUCAAAAACAGAUCUGAACUUUAAUAAAUCAGGCAUAGGAAGGAAGUUAUCACAGGCUCACUGGAUAGAGAGCUACUAAUUUUACCUGCACUUAUCAGCACUUCUUAAAAACAUCUUUUAAAAUAAUUCACAGUAGAAAUUGUUCCUAUAUUAAAACAAUCAGCAAUAAAAUGAGGGCCUUUUCUAACUGCUUGGCAAACUAGUUUGGAGUACUGAAUUUGGGAUUAUUUAUUGCUUAUUUACAGAAACUUGAAAUACAGAAUGAGUACAAGAAUAACCAAGAUUAAGGAAAAGUUAUAUUCUUACUACUUCUUCUCUAAUCCUGAUAGCUCCCCUGCCAAUGUAAAUACUAGCUAGGCAACUCUGAUGUUCAUCAACUGAAAAAUGAUUCUCCAUUCUCAUUAAUUAUUUAUUCUCCUCUAAUGAUGAAAUCUUUGGGUGUUUUCUUCUUCUCCAGGAAAGAAUCAGGAACAAGUACAGAACAAGAUUAUUUAAAUGUUUAGUAAUUUCUUGGAAAUCUAAAUUGAGCCACAAUUUCACUCCCUAAAGCACGGGUUCCAACAUGCUUUGGGUGAUGGAUCCCUUCUCAGUCCAGUGGCACCCAUGGAUUCUUUUUUCAGAAUGAUGCUUUAAUGUAUUAAAUAAAAUAUAUUAAGCAAUAACAGAAUACAAUUUUAUUGAAAAACAAAAUAUUUAGAAAAAUCAAGUUCACAGGUCAAAGAUUAAGAACUCCUGUUCAAUAGGUAUAAUAUACAAAAAACUUCUCUGGCCACUUUCAAAAAGGCUAAAUUUUGUCUCUCAUGAAUCUCCAAAUCUCCAGGUACCAUUUGAGGACCCAUAUUUUCAAACCAUAUGCACUCAAGUCUUGCUAUAUAACCCUCAGAAGGGAAAGUAGUAAAGAAAUAAUUCAUACCAACAAAGACAGUGUCAUAGUAUCCAAGUAAGAAUUAAUUUUUAAAGUUCUGGAAAGAACAUGAAAGACCUCCAUGAGAAAAACAUGGAUAUUAAGAAACUCAGGAAAUUCUUCUUCUAGGAUUUUAUUUGAUCAGUAAGUGUGUAGAGUAGAGCAUUAAAAAUGAAAGGAGAGAAAGGAAAGUUGAAAAACACAAGGCUCUGUGAAAUAAAUAUGCUUUCUUCUUCUCUGGUUGACCUGUAUAUAGCUCCCCUUCAAUUUAAUUUUCUUCUUUAACUAAAAAGAUGACAGUGUCAGACAAUUGUAACUUUGUGUGUUUAUUCCUCCUCAGAAUUCAGUUUUUCAAAUGGUUAUUUUUAGAAUGUGGUCAUGCACACUAAGAUGUCUUGAGUAUCCUCAUUAGCGUCUCCUGUUCUGAAUUAAGUUUUUUUGUUGUUCAUCAAGUUUUUCUUCAUCUACAACAGAUUGUCUUCAGUUUGUGUUUUUCUCCAAAACAGUAGCUUUCAGUGGACAGAGGAUUGGACCCAGAGUCAAGAAGACCUGAGUGUCAGACAUUUACUUACUGUAUGAGCCUGACCUAGUCAUUUAACCUCUGUCUGCCUCAGUUUCCUCAUCUGUAAAAUGUAGAUAAUAGUAUUACCUACCUCCUAGGAUUGUUGUGAGGAUGAAAUAAGAUAAUAUCUGAAAAAGAUUAUGCAAGUGGUAGUUAUUAAAUUUAAGUUAUUUAAUUAGACACAAUUAUUUAAUUGAUUUGAUUUUAAAGUAUUAUUAUUGUUAAAAAUAAAAACAAAUAUGCAUACAUUGAAGUUCACGAUUGAGUCAUUCUAGUUCUUCUGGAAUUCAGCCUAAAAUUUUUGUUUUGAUCUAAAAAGAGAGAUAUUUGAGAGGAGUAUAAGAUUUUUAACCCACAUCAUCAAAAUAUUUGUAUAACCCUUUCUUUUCCCUUAAACUGUAUAAAUGGAUAAGGCUGACAUUUAAGUAGAUUUAUUCACUACAUGGUGGCUUUCACUUUGAUGAGAUGUCAUGAAAAACAAACAGAAAACUUUUCAAGCUGAAUUUUUCUAGUGAUUAUUUUAAAGUCAUAGCAAAGAACAUAGCAGUAGAGGAAAUGCAAAAAUAUUCAAACUUUCCUAACUACUUGAUUUAUUCUCAGAAUUCAGUGAAAUUGUGUCAAAUUCAUUAAAUAAUUAAGUUUUCUAAAAUAUGUGAAUGUGUUUAUUCGUUCACCAAAACAAAGGGUAGAUAUUUUAAUUCAAUUUCCCCAUAGUUUUUGUUGGAUGUUUAGUGGGCUUUCCUAUACUACCAUACUUUCCCAAACUACCUCUCCCCACACUUGUUAGACUAAAAGAUGUUAAGAAAAUGCUUACUAUUUCCUUACGCAAGGAAAAUAAUAGUAUAUAUUCCCCUUCCCAAUUACAUUCAAGAACAUUUUUAGUAUUUGUUUUUACAAGAUUUUGAGUUCCAAAUUUUUCUUUUUCCUUUCCUUUCUUUCUUCCUCCCCUCCCCUCUUCCAAACAUAAUAGGCAGUUCGAUACAGUUGAUGCAUGUGCUAUCAUAUAAAAUAUACUUUUAUAUCAGUUGUGAAAGAAGAAACAGAUCAAAAGGUAAAUAUGAAAAAAGUAAAAAUAAUAUACUUCAAUCUGCAUCAGAGUUCAUCAGUUCUUUACUGGAUAUGGGUAGCAUUUUCCUUUUUGAAUCCUUUGUGCUUGUCUUGGAUCAUUUUGUUGCUGACUGAAUCAUUCAUAGUUGAUCAUCAUACAAUGUUGCUAAUACAGACUAUGUGCAAUGUUUUCUUGAUUCUGCUCAUUUCACUUUGCAUCAAUUCCUACAAGUCUUUCCAGGUUUUCUGAAAUCUGCCCAUUCAUGAUUUCUUAUUGUACAAUAAUAUUCCAUCACAUUCAUUUACUAAAGUUUAUUCAACCAUUCCCCAAUUGAUGGGCAUCCCCUCAAUUUUCAGUAUUUUACUACCAAGAAAAGGGUUACUAAAAUGUUUUUGUACAUAUAGAUCCUUUUCUCUUUUUAAGAUCUCUUGGGGAUACCACAGUAUAGUAUUGCUGAAUCAAAGCAUAUGCACAGUUUGGUUAUUCUUUGGGCAUAGUUCCAAAUUGCUUUUCAGAAUGGUUGGAUCAGCUCACAACUCUACCAACAAUGCAUUAGUGUCCCAAUUUUCCACAUUCUCUCCAACAGGAAAAUACUUUUCAUACUUAAUAUAUUAACUGUUAUCCCCUUCCCCAAUUUUUGGAUCAAUAGUGCAUUUGUAUCAUACUAAUAGCAACAAUAUCUAUCUCCAGAAGAAAGCGUUUCAUUAUUUAGAACCGAAGCCUCCAAACUUUUUUGACUGUUCACCCUAUCUGUAAAAAAAAAAAAAAAAAAAAAAAAAAAAAAAAAAUGAGCAUACAUCCCUAAAAUGUAUAUACAAUACACAGCAUUUACUCUUUAUGUUUUAUGUUAAAUCUCAAAACAUAAUGGAAAGGGAGCUAACCUUGAACCUAGGAAGACCUGCCCCUAAAACCUAGUGGCUAUGUGGCCCUGGGCAAGUCUAUUAAUCUCAUUGUGCCCUUGGAAAUUCUUUAAGUUUUUUAAGUAGCAGAGAAGGUGCUGACCUACUUA